rnacentral:rRNA from 1 species
CCGACGGGAGCUUGCUCCCUUAGGUCAGCGGCGGACGGGUGAGUAACACGUGGGUAACCUGCCCGUAAGACUGGGAUAACUCCGGGAAACCGGGGCUAAUACCGGAUGCUUGAUUGAACCGCAUGGUUCAAUCAUAAAAGGUGGCUUUUAGCUACCACUUGCAGAUGGACCCGCGGCGCAUUAGCUAGUUGGUGAGGUAACGGCUCACCAAGGCGACGAUGCGUAGCCGACCUGAGAGGGUGAUCGGCCACACUGGGACUGAGACACGGCCCAGACUCCUACGGGAGGCAGCAGUAGGGAAUCUUCCGCAAUGGACGAAAGUCUGACGGAGCAACGCCGCGUGAGUGAUGAAGGUUUUCGGAUCGUAAAACUCUGUUGUUAGGGAAGAACAAGUACCGUUCGAAUAGGGCGGUACCUUGACGGUACCUAACCAGAAAGCCACGGCUAACUACGUGCCAGCAGCCGCGGUAAUACGUAGGUGGCAAGCGUUGUCCGGAAUUAUUGGGCGUAAAGCGCGCGCAGGCGGUUUCUUAAGUCUGAUGUGAAAGCCCCCGGCUCAACCGGGGAGGGUCAUUGGAAACUGGGGAACUUGAGUGCAGAAGAGGAGAGUGGAAUUCCACGUGUAGCGGUGAAAUGCGUAGAGAUGUGGAGGAACACCAGUGGCGAAGGCGACUCUCU